CUCUGGGAAAAACAAAAAGACAACGCCCAAAGAGCUUUUUAUUUCUGUGGGAUAUUAAGUAUUUACUUUAUUAGAAAUGAAAAUCUGUAAGAUGCAAGCGUACAAACAUGCAAAGGAAAAGUCUGACUUAUUCUCAUGCUCCAGGCCUCACCCAGCUGACCAGGUUUGUCAUCUCUUAGAGAAGACGCCCCUGAUCCAUCCAUUCCUACCUGCCUCACCCAGCUGAUCAGCCGCCUCCACUUAGAACCGGUUCGUUCAUCUCUCUUUCCACGCGGGACACGGAAAAGGGAGAUCCCCGCCAUGUUUGGCCCCCGCCGCAUCAGGCCCCCGCAUUCUGGCGCCCAAUGUGAGCCAUGAAAGAGACAACAAGAGAAAACUCCAAAGCCCAUAUGGAUUCCUGCAACAACGGAUCCCAGAGAGGACCUGAUAGGACUGUUUCCAGCCACAAAAUAAGUAGUGGCCUCUGAGAACAGAGGAGAAAUAGUCCAGAAAUAAAGAUAGUGAAGAUGCCUUGCCAUGAUAGCAGUCAGCACCUGUCCAUUGCUGCAGGUUGACCAGGACCAAGGAAGGAGCAAUGCAGCCAAUUUGGGUGUCAGAGCGUUACGUCCAUCACCACAAUGGACCCAGAGAAGAUCCUGUGUCCCUUCCUCAAAAGGACUGAGAGCUGCCCUGGUGACAGCAAAGCGGAAGAAGAAGAAAACUGAAAGCUAAGCUACACAGGGGACUGAGGUGCCAACAUGGAGUCAUCUGAAGAAAACGACUGAAGCACAGCAGAUUGUGGAAAAGCAAGAAGUUGAAGCUACUUCUUCUAUCAUGUUUCUGGCCAUGCACAGCCAAGUCUGAGGACUCUGAGUAAAUCAGCAAAAGAAACUUGCAUUUAGUAGGAAAAUGUUACUGUAGUUUGAUUUCUUUAUUGUUGUGUUGCAUUGGCAUUGUUUUAUUAAUAGCCAUGUCUGGAUUUUGCAUUGGCAUUGUUUUGUUAUUGGGUUUUGCAUUGGCAUUGAUUUUUUAAUGUUUUAAUAGUCAGAAAUUUGUUCUUGAUGUUUAAAUUUUACUUCCAUUAUUAGUAGCUUAAAUUUAAAAGAAAGGGUGAGAUGUAGGAAGCGGUUAUAGGGUUAAGCCUCGGACUGACCUGUGGCAGGAUCACAAACAAGUUCGUUUGGAGGGCAGACCCCUCCCAGCAUAAUUAAGCCUAAUCCUGUAACUGAUCCCUAGAUCCUUCCUGGGUAGCUAGUGGGCUGUGGGAGGGGCAGCAAGUGCUGCCAAAACAAGUGAAACUUACAAGAACAUUGUUAAUUGCCUUGUUUGUCCCUGAUUAUAAAUAAAGCCUCAGCU